GGCCGUCGAGGGGGGCGCGUCUCAGCCCCCUGCCCUCGGUCCCUUCAGCGCUCUCGGCGCCCGAAGCCCCCUGACCCCCUCAGUGCUCUGAGCCCCCUCGGCUCCUCAGCUCCCCCCGGCGCUCUCAGCGCCCCCAGCCCCCUCAUCACUCUGAGCCCCCUUGCGCCCUCGGCUACCUCGGCUCCCCAGCCCUCUCACGCUCUGAGCCCCCUCGUCUCCCCAGAACCCCUCGGCCCCUCAGCACGCUCAGAUCCCCUUGGCCCCCGAGCCCCCUCAGCGCCCUUGCCCCCUUGGCUCCUGAGCCCCCUCAGUGCCCUCAGCCCUCUUGGCUCCUCAGCUCCCUCAGCGCUGUGAGCCCGCUUGCACCCUCGGCUCCCUCACCACUUCAGCCCCCUCAGCUCCUGAGCCUACUCAGAUCUCUGAGCCUGCUCGCGCCCUGAGCCCCCUCGGUCCCCUCACGCCUUCGGCGCCCCCAGCCCCCUCGGAACCCCUCACGCCCUUGACGCCCUCAGUGCUCCCAGACCCUCUCAUCCUCAGCCCCCUUGGCUCCUUAGCUCCCUCGGCGCUGUGAGGCCGCUCGUGCCCUCAGCCCACUCGUGGCCUCGUCUCCUCAGCCCCCUCAGCGCUCUGAGCCCCGUUGGCUCCUCAGCCCCCUCGCCACCUCAGUGCGCUCAGAUCCCCUCAGCCCCCUUGGCGCUGUGAGGCCGCUUGCGCCCUCAGCCCACUUGUGCCCUCAGCUCCUCAGCCCUCACACUCUGAGCCCCCUCGGCCCCUCAGAACCCCUCGGCCCCUCAGCGCUCUCAGAUCCCCCUGAGACCCCUCAGUGCCCUCAGCCCCCUUGGCUCCUGAGCCCCCUUGGCGCUGUGAGCAUGCUUGCUCCCUCGGCCGCCUCACCGCUUCAGCCCCCUCAGCUCCUCAGCCUACUCAGCGCUCUGAGCCCCCUCAGAACCCCUCUUGCCCUCAGCCCCCUCAUCGCUCUGAGCCCCAUCGGCACUGUGAGGCCACUUGCGCCCUCAACCCGCUCGUGCCCUCGGCCCCCCAGAACCCCUUGGCUCCUCAGAACCCCUCGGCCCCUCAGCGCGCUCAGAUCCCCUUGGCCUCCGAGCCCCCUCGGCUCCUGAGUCCCGUUGGCCCCCUCAGCGCCCUUGCCCCCUUGGCUCCUGAGCCCCCUCAGUGCCCUCAGCCCUCUUGGCUCCUCAGCUCCCUCAGCGCUGUGAGCCUGCUUGCACCCUCAGCUCCCUCACCACUUCAGCCCCCUCAGCCUACUCAGAUCUCUGAGCCUGCUCGAGCCCCGAGCCCCCUCACGCCCUCGGCGCCCCCAGCCCCCUCGGAAUCCCUCACGCCCUUGACGCCCUCAGUGCUCCCAGACCCUCUCAUCCUCAGCCCCCUUGGGUCCUUAGCUCCCUCGGCGCUGUGAGGCCACUCGUGCCCUCAGCCCACUCGUGGCCUCGUCUCCUCAGCCCCCUCAGCACUCUGAGCCCCGUUGGCUCCUCAGCCCCCUUGCCACCUCAGUGCGCUCAGAUCCCCUCAGCCCCCUUGGCGCUGUGAGGCCGCUUGCGCCCUCAGCCCACUUGUGCCCUCAGCUCCCUUGGCUCCUCAGCCCUCACACUCUGAGCCCCCUCGGCCCCUCAGAACCCCUCGGCCCCUCAGCGCUCUCAGAUUCUUUCGGCUCCUGAGCCCCCUCAGUGCCCUCAGCCCCCUUGGCGCUGUGAGCACGCUUGCUCCCUUGGCCGCCUCACCGCUUCAGCCCCCUCGGCUCCUCAGCCUACUCAGCGCUCUGAGCCCCCUCAGAACCCUUCUUGCCCUCAGCCCCCUCAUCGCUCUGAGCCCCCUCGGCACUGUGAGGCCACUCGCACCCUCAACCCGCUUGUGCCCUCGGCCCCCCAGCGCGCUCAGAUCCCCUUGGCCUUCGAGCCCCCUUGGCUCCUGAGUCCCGUUGGCCCCCUCAGCGCCCUUGUCCCCUUGGCUCCUUAGCCCCCUCAGUGCCCUCAGCCCUCCUGGCUCCUCAGCUCCCUCAGCACUGUGAGCCUGCUUGCACCCUCAGCUCCCUCACCACUUCAGCCCCCUCAGCUCCUGAGCCUACUCAGAUCUCUGAGCCUGCUCGAGCCCUGAGCCCCCUCAUGCCCUAGGCACCCCCAGCCCCCUCGGAAUCCCUCACGCCCUUGACGCCCUCAGUGCUCCCAGACCCUCUCGCCCUCAGCCCCCUCGGGUCCUUAACUCCCUUGGCGCUGUGAGGCCGCUUGUGCCCUCGGCUCCUCAGCCCCCUCAGCGCUCUGAGCCCCCUUGGCUCCUCAGCCCCCUCGCCACCUCAGUGCACUCAGAUCCCCUCAGCCCCCUCGGCACUGCGAGGCCGCUUGCGUCCUCAGCCCACUUGUGCCCUCAGCUCCCUCGGCUCCUCAGCCCUCUCACACUCUGAGCCCCCUCGGCCCCUCAGCGCGCUCAGAUCCCCUCAGCUCCUGAGCCCCCUCAGUGCCCUCAGCCCCCUUGGCGCUGUGAGCCC